rnacentral:rRNA from 1 species
CCCUUAGAUGUUCUGGGCCGCACGCGCGCUACACUGACUACUUCAACGAGUUGUUUCCUUGAUCGAAAGGUCUGGGUAAUCUUUGAAAGGUAGUCGUGAUGGGGAUAGAUCCUUGCAAUUUUUGAUCUUCAACGAGGAAUUCCUAGUAAACGCAAGUCAUCAGCUUGCAUUGAUUACGUCCCUGCCCUUUGUACGCACCGCCCGUCGCACCUACCGAUUGAAUGGUCCGGUGAAUCUUUAGGACUGUGGCUGAGGCCUUGCCUUGUGCGGGUCUGGCCGUGGGAAUUUAGUUAAACCUUACCAUUUAGAGGAAGGUGAAGUCGUAACA